rnacentral:lncRNA from 1 species
ACAUAUACAUGGUCUCUAGUCAUAUGGAUCCUUGUUGUGUAGAUUGGCUGUAGUAAGUUCACUGUAAGAGUAGGGUAUGCACUUACAUGGAAUCUAUCGACCUUGAUAGAUGAGGAGUGAUCCUAUGUGAUUUAUUAGACUGAGUUCUAAGACCUUGGCCAGGGCAGAAUAUAUAGUGGAAAAGAGUUUUCUACUCUCGAACUCAAGUCGAAUAAAUCUAGACAUAUGACAGACGACGGGGUUUGACGAGUUAUCCAUGACCUUCGGUCUGUAGGGAUCCACGAUAGAAGGACUGUAUUAUACGAUAACUGCACCUAGAGGUUCAUCAUUCUAUUCUGCUGGGUUGCCACUACAUGCUGCUAGGUGUCACUGGUGGAUGGUGAGACUCACAGGGACCAUCUUGAUGGUCGAUGAUCCCUGGUGAGUUGAGUUGAAAUUGUUUCAACCCAUUAAAAGAAGUUUUCAAUGAUAUUAUGAUAGAGAUCACAAUAUAUCUCACUAUCGGUCAGAAUAGAACCUAUGGGGUCACACACAUUAGAGGUAUUGACCGAUCCGAUGGUUGAAUGUGAUUAGGAAUCAGAAAUAAUCAAUUUGAUUGAUAAUUGGUUAACCCGCU